rnacentral:lncRNA from 1 species
GAGAAGCGGUAAGUGGUCACUCCAGUUGAAUAUACCAAGCAGUUCGUACCCUUCACUCACCAGGCUCUCAAGCUCAACCGCAUCACCAGAAACACCUUUUCCAAAGUCGUAGCUCCUUCCAAACACGCUCAUCAUCACAUUGUUCAAAGACCCAAAAUGCAACACUUUCUUCACCUUCACCUCACCUUUCUUCUCCAUCAAAACCCUAAUCUCAUCCACCAUUUUCAACCCAAUAGUCCUCCGAAACUCCCCGAAACCAGCGAUUCUCCUCGGACUGAACAAAUGGGUGGCCGAAAUCCUCCUCAGAUUUCUCCAGUACACCCCGAACGGAGCAAAACCCAUUGCUCGGUGGAAUAAAAGCUCAUAAGCCGACUCCUUCACUGGUCGGUCCGCGAACGCCGAACUGUUCAGAAUCUCCUUGGCUGUUUCCGGUUGGCUGGAGAUAAUGAAACGAGUAAAGCCAACCGAAAAAGCCAUCAAUGGCGCAGCUUCAGAAACACGAGCCAGCUUGGCCAGAACCCUAUGAGUCAGAGAGCCAGUGAAGGCGAAAACAAGACCUAUCAGAGGUAACCCAGAAGGGCCAGGAAUGGCGCUACGUGCUUUAGCCUUGGACAUAGCCCAAGCUAAACCACCAGGCACAAGCCAGAAACCAAAGACGCCAACGAACAAAACCACACACAAGAACAGUUCCAAACUUAGAACUGGCGAGGACCCAGUUCCCGGAACGAACGAAAAGUA